CAUCACUGCCUCCAGUGAGGUCGGCUUUCUGCACACCGGUGGGGUGACCACGUUCCAUGUCUGCCAGGGCCACUCUCCCUUCCUCUGCCUACGAAGGAACGGCGCCCUGAAAGCCACGGUCAGCACAGCAGCUCAUCCCGUCAUGAGCUAGACGUUGAACAACACGUCUAAAUCGUGCUCUGGAACAAAGUAAAGAUGCAAAGAUCAUGUUGCCAAUUCUGGGUAUACUUUGGGCAGUUUCAUGCUGGGAACUGGAACACUGUUUUAGUCCAGAGCUUUGCUUUUUGGCAGCCUCUCCAUUGCUCCUGGGCUGCCUCUUUGUCUGCUGAGUAUCACCUCUAGUAUUUGUUUAACCAGCCGUGUCCUGCUGGGUGAGAGCCACCAAGCCACCAUCCUCUGACUGAUGCAACUUUCUUCUAUGUCAACUGAAAACUUCCUCAUCCGUUCCAGUAACCCCGGUCUCGCCCUGAAGAGAACAAAGUCUCCUCUCCACAUAAUGCACGUUAAGCGGCCUCACCUCCAUCUCUUAUGGGAAUACCCAACCAUGUGCUUUACCGCAGCAAUUCAGGGUUUUGCCAUUUGCAGACACCUCCUUAAAUACAACAUGUGUGUAUUUUUAUGGCCACUUUGGAUAAAGUUACCACUGCAGCUGGUAGCUGCAACUUCAAGAUAAAGCUCGCCACGUGACAACCUGAGAAACAGCAAACUAAGGAGCAAGGAAUUGUUAAUUUUCAGACUCCAGCGUGGCUACAUAUACCAACGCUUCUUUACAAUAAACAGAAUAAUGACUUUAACUUGAACAGUUGCCCCUUAGCAGUUGUUACAUUACUUGUAAUUGUUUGCACAAA
rnacentral:lncRNA from 1 species